UCUCUCUCUCUCGCUCUCUCAGACUUCGUUCCAUACGAGUCCCAAUUCCGGGAAUUCCAGCCUUCCCUGCUCUCUAAAUUACACAGGAAAGGGUAACAAAAACUACGCUAUUCCUUUCAAAAUCCACCCCCCAAAUCUACCAGUGCUGCACUUCCCUCCCUUGCCAAUGAUCCUCAACUCUGUUUUUUAAAACUUCUAACAGCCAGCUGUGACAUCUUACAAGAUUUGGAAACUGAAAAGAAAGAAAGAAAAUACCUCAUGACAAAAUAAAAAGCACCAGCUGGCUUUUUUUAAAUUGCCAAAGUAUAAUUAAACAAUUCUUCAGAAGCACUCUUCUCAGAUCUUCCCAAGGCAUACACAGGGCUGUGAACAGGUUCAUGAAUAUGCAAGACAAGCCCCAAGAGUGACCAAACUGUGGCUCGUAAGCCGCAUGCAGCUCUUUUGCAGUUCAAGUGCAGCUCCCGGUGAAAUGCUGGGUGACGCACACUUUGCAGCUCGAAUGAACUGAAGAAAGAAUAUCAAACAAAAACAAAAAGAGAGAAAAAGUAAAAAUAAACACAACAAGUUUAUUAUUUUUGUUCUCUGCAUUCAUUCAUGUUAAUUAUUCUUUCUUCUCUCCCGUUCGCUCUCUACUGUGUCUUUGAGCCUGCAUGGUCACUGCAAGGACAUUUCGCAACUUGAUGACUUUCGACUCCGCUCGCUGGCGCAUGCGUAUUUCCGUCACCUGAUGUGCAGUUGAAAGUGAAUUUCAUCAUUUUAAAUUAAGUGCUCAUUCAUUUAGUUGAGACAAUGGCAUUGAGUAAACCCUCCACCCUAAUUAACUGAAGUAUGAGGCUUUAAGCCAGAAUGGGAAGAAGAGUUCGCUUUCACUGAAAACAGUGGUAAACUUGUGUCUCAUCUGCAACAGUGGUAAACUUGUGUCUCAUCGCUUACACACUGUAGUCUGUACAAAGCGAGCAGCCUCAAAUAUGAAACAAAUCACAACACAUUUACAUCCGAAUAACAGAGUUGGAGAAACAAGCUGGCCUCUAAAAUCACGCCUCAGCAGUCAGCAGAUGCUCCUUUCGGCGUUCAGUAAAGAAUUUGAUUUAAUGACUAAAGUUUUGUAUGGCAUUGUAGAUCUACAGUACAAUAGAAAUGUAGUAUGCGGCUCAUAGAGUCAAGAUGUUUGGCCACCCCUGCCCUAGAUAGAAACUGAUAUAUACCAUGUGAGAACUCAACUGCCUCUAUAAAUGGAUACAGACCACAUGCUUUGAAUUAGUCUUUGCAUUUGGUACACGACUUAUUUAUUUGAUUAUAUCAGUCAUGUUCCUUUACAGGCAUUGUCCAGUAUAUAUUAACAGUGUAACUGCCACUGUAAAAACCUCUGGCAAUAUCAAUGAUACAGACCACACAUUUGGUUUACAGCUGUAUUUUAUGAUUCUCUUGAUCAUAAUGUCCAGUAAAAAAUCAUUAAUGAUACAUGACUUUUUUCACUUUACAAUCCCUCAUUUUUUCAUUUCCAUUAGAAAUGCCCCUUAAAUUAUACCCUCUGGGAUGCUUGUUCACAAAGACACCCCAUUCUGAUUCCCUUUGGUAGUUCAGCACUGAUGGCUAUCCCCAGUUACGUUCAAAUAGUGUAUUCAACAAAAGAAUCAGAUUACCUUGAAAAAUCUGAUUUAAGUGGCUACAGAAACACUGAUCUUUUACCUGACAAAUCAUUUUUAUAAACCCAUAAAUCACAUACAAUUCUUGCUCUGUAUUUUUCUUGAUAGCACUAGAUUUUGUUGACCAAUAUAUUUCAGCCAUAAUAUGCUGUACAUGUUGGAUCUCUUUUGUUCUUUAGCUGUGUUUGGCCUCUUUAGAUUUAUGUUUGGUAUCUGAUCUAUGUCAUAAGCCUGGUCUUUAUGAUUCAUUCCAGUAAGCCAGAUCAUCCGGAGUUCAAAGCUGCUGUUUUAAAGCUAUCGCUGUCUUGAAGUAACACAAUUAAAAACCCAUCACCAAAAAUAAGACAUGGCUGCUUCACGUUUAAGCAUGCAAUUGCAUUAAGUGAGCCUGUGACAGGGUACACCCCGCCCCUGUGCGUGUAUGUAUUAUUUUGUAUUUGUGUUGUGUUACUAUUAUUUAAAUGUUUGAUUUGAUGUGUUAAAAACACUGUGUUUUGUUAUUGUUGUUUUGCAUCAUGGAUGUGGUUAAAAUUCCCCAUCCAUGCUAAACUCGUGCAGAAUGUGACCGUCUCCAGAUUGAUUAAUGAAUUGCUAAUCUGGAGACGGUCAUCGGUAUAACAACCUGCAGCUUUGGCUGAACGAGGUUGGUGUGUUCAGGGAGAAAGAACGGGAGAGAGACGGAGAGAACUGAGAAAAAUACAGAAAUAAGCCAUUGCUACUUGUGCUGGCUUUAAAACCAGUACGUUUCUUGUUUGUUCGCUGUUCUGUGGUUUGUCUGUCUGUUUUGGCCACCGUGCCGUUUUUGUUUUGGAAAGUGUUUUGUUUAAAUCUUUUGUUUUAUAAUUAAAACGCGCAUCAACGCUUCCAUU